UAGAAGUUAGUAUAGUGGUAGUACAUGGAUUUUUGGAGUUCAAGGUGUGGGUUCAAGCCCCAUGGUUCUAA
rnacentral:tRNA from 1 species